CCAAAAAUGUUGGUUAAUUUCCCUCUUUUACUA
rnacentral:tRNA from 2 species